AGGUCUUGCAGAGCACUAGCUGAGUCUCAUUUCCAUCACAUUGGACACUUCUUAAGCCCACAGGACCGAUACCUCGUUCAGAUCUUGGAAGUCGUCAUCUAGGACUCUGCCCCACGUGCCAUCGAGGGAGAUUUCAACACGCCCAUCACAGCGGCUCUGACCAUCUGAGAGUCUGAGUGAUUCAGCAAGACCUGCGCUCAAAAGUUCAGCCCUCUGUGUUUGGAUGCUUCAGACUAUACCCUGGUGGAUGCACUCAUAUUUUCUCACCAUCUAGACCCAGCUCAUUCUCUCCUGAGAAGCAGCCCUUCCCUUGCUCUUGCCUGGCACAAAGAGCAUUUCACAGACAGUGAGCAGCCUUGUGGACUGUCCAUCUGGUAUUGAUAGUGCAACUCCACAGUCCAGAUGCUGGCAGAGAUCAUUGGCAGCUGGAAAAUUCCACAAGUAGUCACA